AUGAACGCUGGCGGCGUGCUUAACACAUGCAAGUCGAACGGAAAGGCUCCUGCUUGCAGGGGUACUCGAGUGGCGAACGGGUGAGUAACACGUGGGUGAUCUGCCCUGCACUUCGGGAUAAGCCUGGGAAACUGGGUCUAAUACCGGAUAGGACCAUCGUUUAGUGUCGGUGGUGGAAAGUUUUUUCGGUGUGGGAUGAGCUCGCGGCCUAUCAGCUUGUUGGUGGGGUAAUGGCCUACCAAGGCGUCGACGGGUAGCCGGCCUGAGAGGGUGUACGGCCACAUUGGGACUGAGAUACGGCCCAGACUCCUACGGGAGGCAGCAGUGGGGAAUAUUGCACAAUGGGCGCAAGCCUGAUGCAGCGACGCCGCGUGGGGGAUGACGGCCUUCGGGUUGUAAACUCCUUUCGCCAGGGACGAAGCGAAAGUGACGGUACCUGGAUAAGAAGCACCGGCUAACUACGUG
rnacentral:rRNA from 1 species